UUCUUGCUCCCGGAGGCUGCGGAAACCUGGUAGUGUCGCAAGGACAAGACUGAGUGCAUGGAUCUAGCAAGCAACCUAUUGUCAAGGAGGAGCCAGCAAGCCAAGAUUAUGAUGACACCUUGGUCUCAGAAGACACAAGCUUUGAAGGAAAAGCCCUAUAAAGAAAUAGCCCUGGGCUUCCCUGGUGGCGCAGUGGUUGAGAGUCUGCCUGCCGAUGCAGGGGACACGGGUUUGAGCCCUGGUCCGGGAAGAUCCCACAUGCCGCGGAGCAACUAAGCCCGUGCGCCACAACUAUUGAGCCUGUGCGUCUGGAGCCGUGCUCCGCAAUGAGAGGCCGUGACAGUGAGAGGCCCGCGCACUGCGAUGAAGAGUGGCCCCCGCUCGCCACAACUGGAGAAAGCCCUCGCACAGAAACGAAGA